AGAGUUAAAUAGUACGUGAAAUUGUUGAAAGGGAAACGAUUGAAGUCAGUCAUGCCGGCGGGAAUCAACUUAGGGGAAACUUUGAGUGCACUUCUUCGCUUGGCAGGUCAGCGUCGAUUUUGGACGUCAUAAAAUGAUUGGGGGAAGGUAGCUCCUUCGGGAGUGUUAUAGCCCUUGGUAGAUGUGAUGUCUGGGAUCGAGGAUUGCAACGGAUACCCUCCGGGGCUAGCCGCCUGAUCUCUAAUUGGUGUUGGGUUGCGGACAGCAUGCUGACCGUGAUCUGAUUACUGGUUAAAAGGUUAGAGUGUGCGUAAAUUCGUUAAGGACGCUGACGUAAUGGCUUUAAACGA
rnacentral:misc_RNA from 1 species